CCUACGGGUGGCAGCAGUGGGGAAUAUUGGGCAAUGGGCGCAAGCCUGACCCAGCAACGCCGCGUGAAGGAAGAAGGCUUUCGGGUUGUAAACUUCUUUUAUCAGGGAUGAAGCAAGUGACGGUACCUGAUGAAUAAGCCACGGCUAACUACGUGCCAGCAGCCGCGGUAAUACGUAGGUGGCAAGCGUUAUCCGGAUUUACUGGGUGUAAAGGGCGUGUAGGCGGGAAAGCAAGUCAGAUGUGAAAACCAUGGGCUCAACCUGUGGCCUGCAUUUGAAAAUGUUUUUCUUGAGUACUGGAGAGGAAGACGGAAUUCCUAGUGUAGCGGUGAAAUGCGUAGAUAUUAGGAGGAACACCAGUGGCGAAGGCGGUCUGCUGGACAGCAACUGACGCUGAGGCGCGAAAGCGUGGGGAGCAAACAGGAUUAGAUACCCCAGUAGUC
rnacentral:rRNA from 1 species